GACGAACGCUGGCGGCGUGCUUAACACAUGCAAGUCGAACGGAAAGGCCCUGCUUUUGUGGGGUGCUCGAGUGGCGAACGGGUGAGUAACACGUGAGUAACCUGCCCUUGACUUUGGGAUAACUUCAGGAAACUGGGGCUAAUACCGGAUAGGAGCUCCUGCUCCAUGGUGGGGGUUGGAAGGUUUCGGCGGUUGGGGAUGGACUCGCGGCUUAUCAGCUUGUUGGUGGGGUAGUGGCUUACCAAGGCUUUGACGGGUAGCCGGCCUGAGAGGGUGACCGGCCACAUUGGGACUGAGAUACGGCCCAGACUCCUACGGGAGGCAGCAGUGGGGAAUAUUGCACAAUGGGCGGAAGCCUGAUGCAGCAACGCCGCGUGCGGGAUGACGGCCUUCGGGUUGUAAACCGCUUUCGCCUGUGACGAAGCGUGAGUGACGGUAAUGGGUAAAGAAGCACCGGCUAACUACGUG
rnacentral:rRNA from 1 species